AUUGAACGCUGGCGGCAGGCCUAACACAUGCAAGUCGAGCGGAGCGGCGGACGGGUGAGGAAUGCCUAGGAAUAUGACUUGUAGUGGGGGAUAAGGUCCGGAAACGGGCGAUAAUACCGCAUACUAGCAGAUGAGCCUAGGUCGGAUUAGCUAGUUGGUGGGGUAAAGGCCUACCAAGGCGAAGCUCCGUAACUGGUCUGAGAGGAUGAUCAGUCACACUGGAACUGAGACACGGUCCAGACGCCGACGGGAGGCAGCAGUGGGGAAUCUUGGACAAUGGGCGAAAGCCUGAUCCAGCCAUGCCGAGUGUUUGAAGAAGGUCUUCGGAUUGUAAAGCACUUUAAGUUGGGAGGCGUGACCAACAGAAUAAGCACCGGCUAACUUCGUGACAGCAGCCGCGGUAAUUC
rnacentral:rRNA from 1 species